UACGAAGGGGGCUAGCGUUGCUCGGAAUCACUGGGGGUAAAGGGCAGGUAGGCGGUUUGUUAAGUCAGGGGGGAAAUCCUGGAGCUCAACUCCAGAACUGCCUUUGAUACUGGCGAUCUUGAGUCCGGGAGAGGUGAGUGGAACUGCGAGUGUAGAGGUGAAAUUCGUAGAUAUUCGCAAGAACACCAGUGGCGAAGGCGGCUCACUGGCCCGGUACUGACGCUGAGGUGCGAAAGCGUGGGGAGCAAACAGG
rnacentral:rRNA from 1 species